rnacentral:rRNA from 1 species
UACAGAGGUCCCAAGCGUUGUUCGGAUUCAUUGGGCGUAAAGGGUGCGUAGGCGGCGCGGUAAGUCGGGUGUGAAAUCUCGGAGCUUAACUCCGAAACUGCAUUCGAUACUGCCGUGCUUGAGGACUGGAGAGGAGACUGGAAUUUACGGUGUAGCGGUGAAAUGCGUAGAUAUCGUAAGGAAGACCAGUGGCGAAGGCGGGUCUCUGGACAGUUCCUGACGCUGAGGCACGCAGGCCAGGGGAGCAAACGGG